rnacentral:lncRNA from 1 species
UCCAAAGGCUUAUGUUUACUGUGGAUUUAUGCACAAAAGGUCUGAGAGUUUGUUUUCUGCCCUGAAGAGUCAAUGCAAUAGCAAUUCUGCUAAACCAAAUGCCAGGUCUGGAAAGCUGUACCUUGCAUAGACCACUGAUGGUCUAUGAAUCUUCAGGAAGAGAGGAAGGGAUUAGCUCAUUGAUUGUAUACUGUUCCAGCAAAGCAGUUUACCCUCUGAGGCCCUCGCUGUCAGCUCCACGCUCAUACAUCCAUGCCCUGCUGUCGAGCCUGACAGCCGUCUAUUGUUCAUUCACUGCUUCCACCUCGCCACUUAAUAUUAUUGCGAUAAGGAAACUCUCGUGUCACGACCCACUGGCGUCUGGCUAA